AUCUAUCGGUGGCUCAGAUGGAUAGAGCGUCUGCCGUGUAAGCAGGAGGUCCCGGGUUCGAGUCCCGGUCGAGGUA